GCGAAUAGUACGUAUUCAAUAUAUGAUUGCUGAAUCACUGAGCAGGUAUACUUUGGUAUUGACUAUUGGAGAAGCUGGGGCUUUGGGUUCCUUGAUAGUCUUUUUUUUUUCUUUUUUUUUUUUUGCAAAGGAGGAAACAAGCCCAUGAAGUGCUGUUCAGUGACACCUCCAAGGCCGUGGGCAGAGUCCAGAUUGGAACCGAGUCCUGGAGUACCCACACCUCUUUCCUUCAUUCUCCUUGCUGUUCCUGUGCUAUCUCACCCUGGUGAGGCCAACAUAGCCACAGGAGGUGUGGUCCCAGCACUAACCACAUGGUUCCAUGUAGACCUUGAAGAAUGGUGAGGAAGGUACAGUGGUGCCAAUGGAGCCCUAGGAAGGAGAUGCAACAAGAAAUGAUGGUCCAGGAGAUGCCGGAGGAGGGUGAGUCUACCCCCAUCCCCACCAGCUUGCCUGCCUACCGCCAAACUGCCUAUUGAUAUUUAUUUGCUUCUUGUUUAUUUGACAGGAUCACAUACAUAUACAUAGCGGCUGGCAUACACAAUUAAUCAGGCGGAGUAUUUCUGAUUUGUGGUUUAACCCUGCCCUGCACUUAACAAGCCUAGGUCCCAGGGCCCCAUGGCUGUCUCACACGGUUCCCUAGCAACCAAAUGAGACAGGGAAAUCUGCAGUUUCAUCACCACAAGAUGCUAGGUCAAUUAAUAUUCAUUAGCAGUGCCUGUGUUUGGCUGCUAGGAGACAUUAUGGAGAAAAAAAUCUUUGUUGCCUGAGUGUGGGAUGGAAGGAGUGUAGGGACCAAUGAAUAUGUAUAUUAUGUACUGAAGAUGUGUUUUCUUAUACUAGCAUGGUCUGUCUGUACAUGUGCAUGCAGAUUAAAAAAAAUUUCAUCCGUAUUUAUAAUUACCCUUCUAAGGUUAUUAUAUGGGAAUAGGUUUCAGAAACAAAAGGAAAGUUCUAUGGGGUGUCUGGGAGGCUCAGUCAGUUAAGUGUCGGACUCUUGAAUUUGGCUCAGAUCAUGAUCUCACAGUUCGUGGGUUCGAGUCUCACAUCAGGCUCUGUGCUGACAGUGUGAAACCUGGUUGGGAUUCUCUCUGAUACCCCCUAAGCCUCAAAAAUAAGCAAAC
rnacentral:lncRNA from 1 species